AUGACGGUCGCCGAGCUGCAGGCGGAGCUGCUCUGCGCCCAGCUCGAGGAGCAGAGCAUCGAGGUUAUGUUUGUCCUCUCCAAGCCAGAUGUCUUCAAGAGCUCAAACUCAGAUACCUACGUCAUGUUCGGGGAGCCCAAGAUUGAGGACCUGAGCACUCAGCUGCGUUCACAAGCGGCGGAGCAGUUCAAGGCGCCGAGCCCAAGCGGCAUCAUCUUGAAGGGCGAGCCGUCCAUGGCAGCAGCCCAUGACGACGAGGAGGUUGAUGAGACUGGUGUUGACAAGAAGGACGUUGAGCUCGUGAUGACGCAGGCCUCCGUGCCGAGAUCCAGGGCUGUGAAGGCGCUCAAGGAUGCGGGCGGCGACAUCGUCAGCGCCAUCAUGGAGUUGACUAACUAG
rnacentral:rRNA from 1 species